rnacentral:rRNA from 1 species
GGUUAAGCGACUAAGCGUACACGGUGGAUGCCCUGGCAGUCAGAGGCGAUGAAGGACGUGCUAAUCUGCGAUAAGCGUCGGUAAGGUGAUAUGAACCGUUAUAACCGGCGAUUUCCGAAUGGGGAAACCCAGUGUGUUUCGACACACUAUCAUUAACUGAAUCCAUAGGUUAAUGAGGCGAACCGGGGGAACUGAAACAUCUAAGUACCCCGAGGAAAAGAAAUCAACCGAGAUUCCCCCAGUAGCGGCGAGCGAACGGGGAGCAGCCCAGAGCCUGAAUCAGUGUGUGUGUUAGUGGAAGCGUCUGGAAAGGCGCGCGAUACAGGGUGACAGCCCCGUACACAAAAAUGCACAUGCUGUGAGCUCGAUGAGUAGGGCGGGACACGUGGUAUCCUGUCUGAAUAUGGGGGGACCAUCCUCCAAGGCUAAAUACUCCUGACUGACCGAUAGUGAACCAGUACCGUGAGGGAAAGGCGAAAAGAACCCCGGCGAGGGGAGGGAAAAAGAACCUGAAACCGUGUACGUACAAGCAGUGGGAGCACGCUUAGGCGUGUGACUGCGUACCUUUUGUAUAAUGGGUCAGCGACUUAUAUUCUGUAGCAAGGUUAACCGAAUAGGGAGCCGAAGGGAAACCGAGUCUUAACUGGGCGUUAAGUUGCAGGGUAUAGACCCGAAACCCGGUGAUCUAGCCAUGGGCAGGUUGAAGGUUGGGUAACACUAACUGGAGGACCGAACCGACUAAUGUUGAAAAAUUAGCGGAUGACUUGUGGCUGGGGGUGAAAGGCCAAUCAAACCGGGAGAUAGCUGGUUCUCCCCGAAAGCUAUUUAGGUAGCGCCUCGUGAAUUCAUCUCCGGGGGUAGAGCACUGUUUCGGCAAGGGGGUCAUCCCGACUUACCAACCCGAUGCAAACUGCGAAUACCGGAGAAUGUUAUCACGGGAGACACACGGCGGGUGCUAACGUCCGUCGUGAAGAGGGAAACAACCCAGACCGCCAGCUAAGGUCCCAAAGUCAUGGUUAAGUGGGAAACGAUGUGGGAAGGCCCAGACAGCCAGGAUGUUGGCUUAGAAGCAGCCAUCAUUUAAAGAAAGCGUAAUAGCUCACUGGUCGAGUCGGCCUGCGCGGAAGAUGUAACGGGGCUAAACCAUGCACCGAAGCUGCGGCAGCGACACUUAUGUGUUGUUGGGUAGGGGAGCGUUCUGUAAGCCUGUGAAGGUGUGCUGUGAGGCAUGCUGGAGGUAUCAGAAGUGCGAAUGCUGACAUAAGUAACGAUAAAGCGGGUGAAAAGCCCGCUCGCCGGAAGACCAAGGGUUCCUGUCCAACGUUAAUCGGGGCAGGGUGAGUCGACCCCAAGGCGAGGCCGAAAGGCGUAGUCGAUGGGAAACAGGUUAAUAUUCCUGUACUUGGUGUUACUGCGAAGGGGGGACGGAGAAGGCUAUGUUGGCCGGGCGACGGUUGUCCCGGUUUAAGCGUGUAGGCUGGUUUUCCAGGCAAAUCCGGAAAAUCAAGGCUGAGGCGUGAUGACGAGGCACUACGGUGCUGAAGCAACAAAUGCCCUGCUUCCAGGAAAAGCCUCUAAGCAUCAGGUAACAUCAAAUCGUACCCCAAACCGACACAGGUGGUCAGGUAGAGAAUACCAAGGCGCUUGAGAGAACUCGGGUGAAGGAACUAGGCAAAAUGGUGCCGUAACUUCGGGAGAAGGCACGCUGAUAUGUAGGUGAGGUCCACUCGCGCGAUGGAGCUGAAAUCAGUCGAAGAUACCAGCUGGCUGCAACUGUUUAUUAAAAACACAGCACUGUGCAAACACGAAAGUGGACGUAUACGGUGUGACGCCUGCCCGGUGCCGGAAGGUUAAUUGAUGGGGUCAGCGCUAACGCGAAGCUCUUGAUCGAAGCCCCGGUAAACGGCGGCCGUAACUAUAACGGUCCUAAGGUAGCGAAAUUCCUUGUCGGGUAAGUUCCGACCUGCACGAAUGGCGUAAUGAUGGCCAGGCUGUCUCCACCCGAGACUCAGUGAAAUUGAACUCGCUGUGAAGAUGCAGUGUACCCGCGGCAAGACGGAAAGACCCCGUGAACCUUUACUAUAGCUUGACACUGAACAUUGAGCCUUGAUGUGUAGGAUAGGUGGGAGGCUUGGAAGUGUGGACGCCAGUCUGCAUGGAGCCGACCUUGAAAUACCACCCUUUAAUGUUUGAUGUUCUAACGUUGACCCGUAAUCCGGGUUGCGGACAGUGUCUGGUGGGUAGUUUGACUGGGGCGGUCUCCUCCUAAAGAGUAACGGAGGAGCACGAAGGUUGGCUAAUCCUGGUCGGACAUCAGGAGGUUAGUGCAAUGGCAUAAGCCAGCUUGACUGCGAGCGUGACGGCGCGAGCAGGUGCGAAAGCAGGUCAUAGUGAUCCGGGUGGUUCUGAAUGGAAGGGCCAUCGCUCAACGGAUAAAAGGUACUCCGGGGAUAACAGGCUGAUACCGCCCAAGAGUUCAUAUCGACGGCGGUGUUUGGCACCUCGAUGUCGGCUCAUCACAUCCUGGGGCUGAAGUAGGUCCCAAGGGUAUGGCUGUUCGCCAUUUAAAGUGGUACGCGAGCUGGGUUUAGAACGUCGUGAGACAGUUCGGUCCCUAUCUCGCCGUGGGCGCUGGAGAACUGAGGGGGGCUGCUCCUAGUACGAGAGGACCGGAGUGGACGCAUCACUGGUGUUCGGGUUGUCAUGCCAAUGGCACUGCCCGGUAGCUAAAUGCGGAAGAGAUAAGUGCUGAAAGCAUCUAAGCACGAAACUUGCCCCGAGAUGAGUUCUCCCUGACCCUUUAAGGGUCCUGAAGGAACGUUGAAGACGACGACGUUGAUAGGCCGGGUGUGUAAGCGCAGCGAUGCGUUGAGCUAACCGGUACUAAUGAACCGUGAGGCUUAACCUU